GUUAAGAAAACCACCCACCAUCAGAGUGCCUAAAGAACAGUGGUGUGCCUUUUCAGAGCCACGAGAACUGCCCAUCUGAAGUGGACAUCUGCAGCUGGAGGCUUUUCUGAGCGAUUUUAAUGCCCAAUAAAUUGAAUGGGAGAAGGAGGACUGCUAGGAGGUUGCUGUGGGACUCAAGAGCAUGCAUCAUUUUUCCCAUUUGGUCAAAGCCUUCCUCUUCCUGAGUGACUUUGACCAGUUCACUUGGGUUCAGAUUUUCUAACUUAUGGAAAUACUUUAGAAAGGACCUACUUUUUACAUACUCUGUUUUCCAACUCUAAAAUAACAUGCCCCACAAAAUCACUUCUUUUCUCUAUCUUGUCCUUAUUUAUGAUAACACUUAAAGAACAAAGAACUUACCUGGCUUUUGUCUCAGCAAAUCCCACCAAAAGACUGCAAGAUCUUGGAGGCUUAGUCUGGCCUUUCACAAGAGGAUCUACCUCAUGAUGAGGAGGCCCUGUGCUGGUCUUAGACCUUGAAUUGCUGCCACAUAUCAGGUAGUAAAAUAAAAUAGCAAACUGGUGUGGAUGGCCAUUCCUCAAAGAGUAUGGCUUAUUUGCACUGAGACUUCUGAUUGCAGAAUGAGAAAUUACAAUGAUUGUACCCUGGAAAAAAAUGAGCACAGCUAAUAGAGGAGACAGUAUGCUAAAGGAAGUGUA